UGGGGAAUAUUGCACAAUGGGCGAAAGCCUGAUGCAGCAACGCCGCGUGAGUGAUGAAGGUCUUCGGAUUGUAAAGCUCUGUCUUUUGGGACGAUAAUGACGGUACCAAAGGAGGAAGCCACGGCUAACUACGUGCCAGCAGCCGCGGUAAUACGUAGGUGGCGAGCGUUGUCCGGAUUUACUGGGCGUAAAGGGUGCGUAGGCGGAUGUUUAAGUGAGAUGUGAAAUACCCGGGCUUAACUUGGGUGCUGCAUUUCAAACUGGAUAUCUAGAGUGCAGGAGAGGAGAAUGGAAUUCCUAGUGUAGCGGUGAAAAUGCGUAGAGAUUAGGAAGAACACCAGUGGCGAAGGCGAUUCUCUGGACUGUAACUGACGCUGAGGCACGAAAGCGUGGGUAGCAAACAGGAUUAGAUACCCUGGUAGUCCACGCCGUAAAACGAUGAGUACUAGGUGUAGGAGGUAUCGACCCCUUCUGUGCCGCAGUAAAACACAUUAAAGUACUCCGCCUGGGAAGUACGAUCGCAAGAUUAAAAAC
rnacentral:rRNA from 1 species